UUUUGAUAUUACUUUUCUGUAUGACUAUAACAAUUCGAUUAUAAUCAUCAAACCGCAGAAACAUUUGAUAGCAUUUACUACAAAAUUAUAAAAUAUUUAGACAAUGAUUCAUAAACAUAUCAUAAAUAAGAUCAACAUUAAUAAAAUAAAUA
rnacentral:sRNA from 1 species